rnacentral:lncRNA from 1 species
GGCGGUGGCGCCCAGGCACCAGUGAGCACCUGAGUGCCCUCCAGCUUGCCCCGGGCUAGGUGUUUGGCCUCUGAAAGACCCCUUGUUGGAGACAGCUGUCAGGCCCCGGAAACCCCGCUCGUCCAGCAGGCGCUGGCUUCCUGCGUCAGUCUCCUGUGAGGCCCGCUCCAUGGAGCUGUGGACAAGACGGAACGUUUCUCCGGAGGCAAGGCUGGGGUCUAGCACCAGGCCACGGCUAUCACCCUUCCUCAGGGCCAGGGCCACUUGUGAGCCCC